rnacentral:lncRNA from 1 species
GGGCGAGGCCUAGAAAUGCAAGCAAAACGCAGGCUGAAACCUGCAUUUAAAAUAGUAGAAAGGCUUAAAGUCUGAUGUCUUCCUGACCACUGGAUAAUAUCAUGAGGGACAAAUGCCCAGGUCCCCACUGAGAUUCAUGAUUAGUGGAAUAUAAUUCUAAGAGAAGAGGUCAGGGAGAUUAAUUUGUGUGGAAUCAUCUCGCUGGGGAGCUCAGUGGCAGAAGUUCCAAGUUGAGAGGUCAUCAGAAGAACUGUUGGCUUCUCCGUCUCCCAGCAGAGGCCCCUCGGUUCUAUAUCUCUUUUAUUUCAGCUCACAUCUCUGCAUUGCCUUCCUCCUGGAAUUCUCUCUCACACAGGUCCCCAUAUUGAAGCCCUUUGAAAAGAAAAAGGCAAAGGAUCUUAAGAAGAAAAAUUCUAACAGCCAGAGCCUUUUAAAAUCAUUUAAUGGUUCCCAAAUACAUGCUGCCUGUUGGAAAGGAUGUGGAUGCCGGGUGGACAUUGUUUUAGAGAUCUUGAGACUUGAAUAG